CAAGGUGGCCUCAAGAAUUGAUAGGAUCCCAGCCACAAGUGAAGGCCUUACUCAGGGAAGUCACAACGGGUUGCUCGUCCAUACAGGAUCAAGGACAGGUUGGCCUGUUGGCCAGACGCCCAGCACAAACAGCUCAGCCCAGUGAGGGAGAGUCAUUAGGUAAGCCAUCAACCACCUCCCUGCAGAAUUCAGUCAUCAUUGUUGCAUGUGGAGUCCCUUCUCAUACAUAAUCAUA
rnacentral:lncRNA from 1 species